rnacentral:lncRNA from 1 species
UGAUGGUGUAGUGAUAGCGACAAUAAUGAUGUCGAGUGACAAGAUAUUAGAGGCAACGAAGAUGGUGAUAGAUGUGUGCUGAAGACAAUGGUAGCGGUGGGGUGCUGGCGGCGAGGUGUGAUGGCUAUGGAGAUUAAUAAUUCAUACUUGGAAUCACUUUUCUUGUUUAAAUUGCUGAGCAGUGUGGGUUUUUCUAUGAAUUCAUAACUAAUUUAUGGAGAUAAAUGCCGACCAAUAUAGUCAUAUUUUGGUAUGUAUUCUAUCAAUUGUAUAGUAUUUCCUGAAUUUCUAAAGAAGCCUAUAAGUCGAUCUCUGUUUCCACCGUUUGUAUUUGUUUGUUUCUGUUUUUUCCAACAUUAGCAAUUGCAU